UACGGGGGGGGGCAAGCGUUGUUCGGAAUUACUGGGCGUAAAGGGCUCGUAGGCGGCCAACUAAGUCGGACGUGAAAUCCCUCGGCUUAACCGGGGAACUGCGUCUGAUACUGGAUGGCUCGAGUGUGGGAGAGGAAUGCGGAAUUCCAGGUGUAGCGGUGAAAUGCGUAGAUAUCUGGAGGAACACCGGUGGCGAAGGCGGCAUUCUGGACCAUAACUGACACUGAGAGACGAAAGCCAGGGGAGCAAACGGG
rnacentral:rRNA from 1 species